rnacentral:rRNA from 1 species
GACGAACCGUGCGAACGUUAUUCGGAAUCACUGGGCUUAAAGCGCGUGUAGGCGGCCCGGCACGUCCGUCGCUGAAAUCCCCCGGCUCAACCGGGGAAGUGGCGUGGAUACGACCGGGCUGGAGGGGGUAGGGGGAGCCGGAACUUCCGGUGGAGCGGUGAAAUGCGUUGAGAUCGGAAGGAACGCCCGUGGCGAAAGCGGGCUCCUGGACCCACCUGACGCUGAGACGCGAAAGCCAGGGAGCGAACGGG